GUUCGAUGUAGGUAUCCGUACGGCAGUCGAGCGAUGCGACAGCAUCUUGGUCUUAUGAGUGUAUCGCCGGAGGGAAGCUGACCACGUGGGUAGCCUGACCAUUAGACAGGGAUGCCUCCGGGAAACGAGGGCUAAUACCGGAUAAUUUUUUGAACCACGAGGAUCCCAAUUGAAAUGCGGCUUCUGGUGUCAUUUAUGCCUGGACCCCCGACGAUCUAUCUAUUUGGUGAGAUGACGACUCACCAAGGUGACAAUGAGUAACCGACCUGACUCGGUGAUCAGGCACACUGGGACUGAGACACAGCCCAGACUCCUACCGGAGGCAGCAAUGCCGAAUCUUCCACAAUGGACCAAAGUCUGACGGAUCUCUCCGCGGAGUGAUGAAAGCUUUCGGGUCAUAAAACUCUGUUGUUAGGGAAGAACCAGUGCUCGUUGAAUAACCUGGGGCCUUGACGGUACCUAAACUUAAAGCCACGGCUAACUACGUGCCAGCAUCCGCGGUAAUAAGUAGGUGGCCAGCGUUAUCCGUAAUUAUUGGGCUUAAAGACCGCGCAGGUGGUUUCUUAAAUAUGAUGUGAAAACCCACAGUUCAACCGUGAAAGGUCAAUAUAAACUGAAAAACUUGAGUGCAGAAGACGAAAGUGGAAUUCCAUGUGUACCGUUGAGUUGCAUAGAGAUAUGGAGCGAACACCAUUGGAUACCGCGACUUUCUGCUCUGUAACUGACACUGACGCGCUAAAGCGUGGCGAGCAGCCUGGAUUACAUACCCUGCUAGUCCACGCCGCCAACGAUGAGUGCUAAGUGUUAGAGGGUUUCCGCCCUUUAGUGCUGAGGUCACGCACUAAGCACUCCGCCUGGGGAGUACUGCCACCAGCUGAAACUCCAUGGAAUUGACUGACCUCCGCACACGCGGUGGAGAAUGUGAUUUUAUUCUAUGCGACGACGAACACACAUUGCGAUGUCUUGACAUCCUCUGACUACUCUAGAGAUAUGGUCGUUCUCAUUUC
rnacentral:rRNA from 1 species